rnacentral:rRNA from 1 species
AUUGAACGCUGGCGGCAUGCCUAACACAUGCAAGUCGAACGAGUGGCGGACGGGUGAGUAAUGUCUGGGCAACUGCCUGAUGGAGGGGGAUAACUACUGGAAACGGUAGCUAAUACCGCAUACCCUCAGAUGUGCCCAGAUGGGAUUAGCUAGUUGGGGGGGUAACGGCUCACCAAGGCGACGAUCCCUAGCUGGUCUGAGAGGAUGACCAGCCACACUGGAACUGGGACAGGGCCCAGACUCCUCCGGGAGGCAGCAGUGGGGAAUAUUGGACAAUGGGGGAAAGCCUGAUGCAGCCAUGCCGCGUGUUGGAAGAAGGCCUUCGGGUUGUAAAGUACUUUCAGCGGGAAGGCGGUACCCGCAGAAGAAGCACCGGCUAACUCCGUGCCAGCAGCCGCGGUAAUAC